AACUUUCAACAACGGAUCUCUUGGUUCUGGCAUCGAUGAAGAGCGCAGCGAAAUGCGAUAAGUAAUGUGAAUUGCAGAAUUCAGUGAAUCAUCGAAUCUUUGAACGCACAUUGCGCCCGCCAGUAUUCUGGCGGGCAUGCCUGUCCGAGCGUCAUUU
rnacentral:rRNA from 1 species